rnacentral:rRNA from 1 species
CCUACGGGAGGCAGCAGUGGGGAAUAUUGCACAAUGGGGGAAACCCUGAUGCAGCGACGCCGCGUGAGUGAAGAAGUAUUUCGGUAUGUAAAGCUCUAUCAGCAGGGAAGAAAAUGACGGUACCUGAUUAAGAAGCCCCGGCUAACUACGUGCCAGCAGCCGCGGUCAUACGUAGGGGGCAAGCGUUAUCCGGAUUUACGGGGUGUAAAGGGAUCGUAGACGGCAGCACAAGUCUGGAGUGAAAUGCCGGGGCUUAACCCCGGAACUGCUUUGGAGACUGUGCAGCUAGAGUGCAGGAGAGGUAAGUGGAAUUCCUAGUGUAGCGGUGAAAUGCGUAGAUAUAAGGAGGAACACCAGUGGCGAAGGCGGCUUACUGGACUGUAACUGACGUUGAGGCUCGAAAGCGUGGGGAGCAAACAGGAUUAGAUACCCCAGUAGUC